CAGUCGCCGCGGGAAUACGUAGGUGGCAAGCGUUGUCCGGAAUUAUUGGGCGUAAAGCGCGCGCAGGCGGAUAGGUCAGUCUGUCUUAAAAGUUCGGGGCUUAACCCCGUGAUGGGAUGGAAACUGCCAAUCUAGAGUAUCGGAGAGGAAAGUGGAAUUCCUAGUGUAGCGGUGAAAUGCGUAGAUAUUAGGAAGAACACCAGUGGCUAAGGCGACUUUCUGGACGAAAACUGACGCUGAGGCGCGAAAGCCAGGGGAGCGAACGGGAUUAGAUACCCCCGUAGUCCCUGUCUCUUAUACA
rnacentral:rRNA from 1 species